rnacentral:rRNA from 1 species
GCAUAUCAGAAGGCACACCCGGAGAACUGAAACAUCUUAGUACCCGGAGGAAGAGAAAGAAAAUUCGAUUCCCUUAGUAGCGGCGAGCGAAACGGGAAGAGCCCAAACCAACAAGCUUGCUUGUUGGGGUUGUAGGACACUCUAUACGGAGUUACAAAGGACGACAUUAGACGAAUCAUCUGGAAAGAUGAAUCAAAGAAGGUAAUAAUCCUGUAGUCGAAAAUGUUGUCUCUCUUGAGUGGAUCCUGAGUACGACGGAGCACGUGAAAUUCCGUCGGAAUCUGGGAGGACCAUCUCCUAAGGCUAAAUACUCUCUAGUGACCGAUAGUGAACCAGUACCGUGAGGGAAAGGUGAAAAGCACCCCGGAAGGGGAGUGAAAUAGAACCUGAAACCGUGUGCUUACAAGUAGUCAGAGCCCGUUAAUGGGUGAUGGCGUGCCUUUUGUAGAAUGAACCGGCGAGUUACGAUUUGAUGCAAGGUUAAGCAGUAAAUGUGGAGCCGUAGCGAAAGCGAGUCUGAAUAGGGCGUUUAGUAUUUGGUCGUAGACCCGAAACCAGGUGAUCUACCCUUGGUCAGGUUGAAGUUCAGGUAACACUGAAUGGAGGACCGAACCGACUUACGUUGAAAAGUGAGCGGAUGAACUGAGGGUAGCGGAGAAAUUCCAAUCGAACCUGGAGAUAGCUGGUUCUCUCCGAAAUAGCUUUAGGGCUAGCCUCAAGUGAUGAUUAUUGGAGGUAGAGCACUGUUUGGACGAGGGGCCCCUCUCGGGUUACCGAAUUCAGACAAACUCCGAAUGCCAAUUAAUUUAACUUGGGAGUCAGAACAUGGGUGAUAAGGUCCGUGUUCGAAAGGGAAACAGCCCAGACCACCAG